GGGACCGUGGGGUAGCGGUAUCCUUUCGGCCUUGGGUGCCGAUAACCCCGGUUCGAAUCCGGGCGGUCCCA
rnacentral:tRNA from 1 species